AUACGGAAGGUCCAGGCGUUAUCCGGAUUUAUUGGGUUUAAAGGGAGCGUAGGCCGCUUGGUAAGCGGGCAGUGAAAUGCAGAGGCUCAACCUCUGACUUGCUGUUCGAACUGCCGGGCUUGAGUACGCACGAGGUAGGCGGAAUUUGUGGUGUAGCGGUGAAAUGCUUAGAUAUCACAAAGAACUCCAAUUGCGAAGGCAGCUUACCGGAGCGCAACUGACGCUGAAGCUCGAAAGUGCAGGUAUC
rnacentral:rRNA from 1 species